AAACAAGGCAGAUCAUAAUCUUUAAUUGUUUUAGAUUUUGAUUUAUGUAGAGAAAAUGAUGCAAAGUUUUGAGAUGACCAAGAUGAAGUGCAGUAUGAUGAUAGCUUUAAAGAGCUUGAAUCAUAUGCAGUUCUAAAGAAUUGUAUCCAUGAUUUACCAGAGAAUUUUAAAGGAUUACGAUGGGAAUCUUCUAAAACUAAAGGAUUUUGAAGGGAUUUUUCCGAAAUUAAAGGAUUGCGAACGGAACUUGUAAAAUACGUAGCUUGCGUGGUUACUCUAUUUAAUUUAUCUUCUCUCGAUAAAGUUUAGUAUAUUCUCUUUAAGAAGUGGCUUUAUCUAUGUGUUCUUUAAUUAAAUACUAUUUGUUUAUACCAUACUUA